rnacentral:lncRNA from 1 species
GUUCUGGCUGCCUUCACUUAGCUAUCAGAUCUUUGGGCUCCUUUCCAGACAAACUGAUUGCCUACUGGCAUUGGAAGAGUGCAUCUCUUUUCUUCCUUUGUUUGGAUAACAUCAUCCCCCCCUCCUUUGCUCCCCUCUAUCCAUCCUUCUCUCCCUCCCCCUCCACUCUCACACAAGUCAGCUUUCCUCUGACUAAUGUUCUCUCCUCAAAGAGAAGCAAGUCUGCAAAUCUCAUUAUUUCACAAUGUUUUCCACUAAGAGUAACCAACUGGUUGUGCAAUCUAUACUUCAGAGCUUGCCGAGCUUUGCAAAUCUGCCAGAAGAGAAAUCAUGACUUCCUCUCUCAACAAGUCACUAUUAGUUUGCCUAAAGGCUAAAGGUUGGGAAGGAGAAGAUGACUUUAAGGCAGGUGUUGAACUUCCUAGGAUGGGAAAAGAGGGACUUGGAGGUCCAGAGCUGAUUGCAAAAGGUACACUGCAAAGAAGGAGAGGUGAUGACAGAAGGAGGGUCUGGCUGUGUCAUAUUUCAAUAGGGGAGGUGACCUGUAAGUAAGCAGGCUCUUAUAAGAAGAAUACAGAAUAAAUGAAAGGUUUUCUAUCUGAAAGGAGAGGCA